AUGAUUGCAAGUUUCCUGAGGCCUCCCCAGCCAUGCUUCCUGUACAGCCUGCAGAACUUUUUUUAGAGAGACAGGAUCUCACUCUUUCACCUAGGAUGGAGUCCAGUGGUGUGAUCAUAGCUCCAACUCCUGGGCUCAAGUUAUCCUCCCGCCUCAGCCUCCUGUGUAGCCGAGACUACAGAUGGCGUUUCCCUCUUGCCACCCAGGCGGGAGUGCAGUGGCAUGAUCUCAGCUCACUGCACCCUCCACCUCCCGAGUUCAAGUGAUUCUUAUGCCUCAGCCUCCUGAGUAGCUGGGAUUACAGGUGCCCAUCAUUAUGCCCAGCUAAUUUUUGUAUUUUUAGUAGAGAUGGGGUUUCACCAUGUUGACCAGGCUGGUCUUGAACACCUGACCUCAAGUGAUCCACCUGCCUCAGUCUCCCAAAAUGCUGGUAUUACAGGGGUUGCCACUGUGCCUGGACUUCUUUUUAUAGUUUUGAUUUAAAGUCUGUUUUAUCUGAUAUAAGCACAGCUACUCCUGCUCUCUUUUGUUUCCACCUGCA